UUGCUAUUGCUUCUUGAGCUCUGGAUUGCAGUUCUUUGAUUCCAACUAUUAUUAUUCCAGUCCAUUCCAGUGUAAUCUGAUUCAACAAGCACUAAGAUUUUUUUUGUAGGUCUUUUGCAUAGUUCUUCUGCAAGACGAAUCAUGAAUGAAGCGAACAGUAUAAUGAGUAAGGAUUUGGGAUUUCAACAGAUCCAGUGCAUUUCUUUUUUGAAUAGUUCACUCCUUUUUCUUGUGUGUCUGCUUGUGUGCUAGAAUGAAAUGUACCACCCUCUGUUCCAAAUAAUAAAAUUAUCAGCAGCCAUCUACCAAAGAUUAUUGCACAUGACAGGUUCCUGACUCAGUUGCACUGAGUAGUCACACAGUGCAGCUGAGAGGAAUAGAGACAAAGAUGACUCUAAAGCCUGCUCCUUUGAUCCUGGGCCAGCCAAAUUAAAAACCUGGACCACUGAACAUUCUCCAAGAACUGCAAUACCUGACUACCCAUUACAAAAGUACAUUUUUUCUGAUAUAUCUUUUAAUGAUGCUAAAGAGAAGAAAAUUAUUUCUUCUAUACUGUCAAGUAUUCUAAUAUAAUAAAAGUCUUAAUCUGUC